AGUUUGUAUCUUCUAAAACCUUCAGGCAAAUACAUGUGCUCUUAAAUAUUCCUGUUUCUUGGCUGUUUAUUUUCUUUUGCUCUCCCUGUUUUCCUAUAAGAGCUGAUUUUGGUGUAUUCAGCUCAUGGCCAGUGUCUUUCUGUUUCUAGGCACCUUUUUACAUUUAUGGGGGCUGCUAAGGUUACCGAGUAGAGCCACAGACACUGACAGGAGCCGAGUGAGAAUGUGGCUCACCCGUUCUCCUCCCUCCGCCCUCCCUUCGGCCAAAAUGGGACCAAUGAACGUGAUCACCGAUGAAGCACCAGCUGUCUGCCGUCCUUUCAGGACGGUGAACCAGCCCAUCCUGAUAACCCCACAGUUCUGUCAACGUCGUUUAAAAUGCGCAACAAACAAAGGCCGAUGGGCAGCUGAGCUGUGACGUUGAAACAGAGUGGUGACUUUGCUUGGUUCUUUAACCGUGACUCGCUCUGAGAUGAGCAGAGGGGCCACCUGAGAGUUCAGCUGCGUCCUUCGGGCUUAACCAUACGGAGUUCUUAGAAGCCCCCACUGUUACUCAUUGCAUGGCUUAUGCCCCCAGACCAGAGGAAGGGGUUAGCUAUUAACGAGCUGAGCUUCCCCAGUAGAAGAAGGUGAUUUGGUGGAACUGUAUUUUAGCCCUGCCUUGGAAUGGUUAAUUGGAAUCUCACUCAUCUCUUUCUUCCACUACCUACUUUGAAAAUAAUUUAAUCCCUGUCCUUUACUUCCUGUUGACAGGAAGCCCUCUCUGCCAACCCAUGGCUGGUCACGGACCAAUCGGCUAUCACCAGGCUUUGGGGCGUCUGCCAGGGCCUCUGUGUUUUGAUAUACUCUGACCUGGCAGUGAAGCUGCUGAUGAAUGCACGACAAAGACCAGUUUGCUCCGUAACCCCAGGCUCCCAGCGUCUUUUCCAUGAGCCAAAGGCCUGGUCCUGGAGGGGGGUGCCCUGCAGCUCUGCUGGCCUUCUUCCAGGGGAGUUCAUUGCUGGGGGUGGCCCUGCAGUGACCUCCACUGUGCUGGGGAGGGGAAGAAGAAGGAUGCAACAGGGUGAGGGGAGAAUUUGAGAAAAUAGGAUGCAAAUUCUCCACUUGUGAAUAAAGAAAUAGAGAGCCAUUGCUAAGAACUAUGUUUACGCAGGGUUAGUGCUGGGACCAGAAACCAGUCAACUCGUUUCUGUGUGCUUUCCAGGGACUGGGCUGGGUGUCGAGGACACAAAGAUGAACAGUGCGAUGGAAUUGGAUUCUCCAAAAAAAAGGUCGAAGUCCCACACCCUCUGCACCCCAUACCUGUGAAUGGGACCUUCUUUGAGAUGGGGUUUUUGCAGAUGUGAUUAACAUAUAGAUUAGGAUGAGGCCAUUAGGACCGGCCCUCAUCCACUAUGCCUGGAGUCCUUCUAAGAAGAGGGAAGUUGCAUCCAGAGGCACAGGCAAGAAGGCCUGUGAGGGCGGAGGCAGAGAUUGCAGAGCUGCUGCCACGAGCCUCGGAAUAUGGGCCGCUGAAGGGUGGAAGAGGCAAGGAAGGAUCCUCCCGGAGGUUUCGGAGGGCGUGUGGCUCUCACAGCACCUUGAUUUCAGACCUCUGGCCUCUAGAGCAAUGAGAGAAUCCAUUCUGUUUUAAAGCCCCCAGUAUGUGGUGCCGCAUUAUCACAGCCCAGGAACCUAAUCCAACAGGGCCCUGCCCUCAAAGCACAGCGCAGCCACAGCCUCCGUCCGAUAGAGCUGUAGGGCAGGGGCUUGCACUGAGGGGCUCCAUGGCAUGGCCUGGAGAGGUGGCCAAGGCCCCAGGAAGGGGUCCCAGCGUCCCACUGCCCACAGCACUUUGACACUCCCUUCCAAGGUCUGGGUCUUUCCUUGCGUCCCCUCCUCCCACUGCUGGAAGUUCUAGUGUGGAGGGGCUGUGAGAAAACCAACGUAACGUGACAGAGGCUGGUGUGGCAGCUCUGGGACCCAGGCCUGCUCCCUCUGUCCAGAGCACUUCCUCUUUGCCUGCUCUCCCCUCCUGGGUGGCCACCAAGACUUAGCCUCCUGGGGCCAGGGGUGCAGAGGUGUGUGCGAGGGGUGGGGGUGGGAGGACAGCUCUGUCACCUGCUCAACUUCCAGAAGACGGGCAGGCAGGCAGGCUCCACACAGCCAUUUGCCUAUUGGGCUAAUGUGGAAACCAUUUACUCAGCUCCACCCUGCUCACCACCUCAGCCAUGCCAGCAGCCAUGGGGUGGUGGGCUUGAAGCAUACAUCACCUGGGCCCCAUCCUCAUCUAUAGCAUAUGUUGUAAUAAGCACCCCAGAGAGCCUUCUUCCUCCAUGCAACCUAGAUACGCUUGAUGGGGAGUUGCAUUCAUGGUGCUGAUGACCGAUCAAUAUUCUUGAUUGUAUCAGAUACCAUCUGGGGUGGCAUGGUUUUCAACAGAUUGAGCUAAUAUUGCUGAAGCACUUGUUAUAUGCCAGACGUGUGCUUUUAUAUGAGCCGUCUCUCUUUAUCUCUAAAGUAAUAUGUGAAAUAUUAGUAUUGUUAUUAGUCUUAUUAUCCUUAAUGUAGAAAAGACAGUGUAAGGUUCACAACCAUUCUAGCCCAACCUGCUGAGAAAAGUCUCUGUUGUGUCUUGUCAGGUUUUUGAUAUCUCUGCUUGGCUAUGGCCCAGAUGCCCCACGAGCAGCCAAGGCCUCCCUGGGGUAGGGGAUGAGGCUGGACGGUCAGGCUGAGGCUGGACGGUGGGCCCAGAGAGGGCGGCGUCUGCUGCCUCCCUUCGGUUUGCCCUGUGUGUGUCAGGUCUCCAUACGCUUCACUUGGCCCCUUUCUAGAUGAAGGUCAUUGAAGGUUAUUCUUUACCCUUCUUAUCUCAAAAAUAAAUAACCUGUCUUCUCCACUUUCUUUUCUUUUUCUUUUUUUUUUUUUUUUGAGACAGAGUCUUGCUCUGUCACCCAAGCUGGAGUGCAGUGGUGCGAUCUCCGCUCACUGCAAGCUCCGCCUCCCAGGUUCACACCAUUCUCCUGCCUCAGCCUCCCGAGUAGCUGGGUCUACGGGCGCCCGCCACCACACCCAGCUAAUUUUUUGUAUUUUUUAAUAGAGACGGGGUUUCACCGUGUUAGCCAGGAUGGUCUCAAUCUCCUGACCUCAUGAUCCGCCCGCCUUGGCCUCCCAAAGUGCUGGGAUUACAGGCGUGAGCCACUGCGCCCGGCCUCUUCUCCACUUUCAUAGGUUCCAGUCUCUGGUUCUUCUUUCUCAGUUUGUUGUUUUUGCUUCUUAAAUAAUGGAG
rnacentral:lncRNA from 1 species